AAUCCAUAGGUUAAUGAGGCGAACCGGGGGAACUGAAACAUCUAAGUACCCCGAGGAAAAGAAAUCAACCGAGAUUCCCCCAGUAGCGGCGAGCGAACGGGGAGGAGCCCAGAGCCUGAAUCAGCAUGUGUGUUAGUGGAAGCGUCUGGAAAGGCGCGCGAUACAGGGUGACAGCCCCGUACACAAAAGCGCAUGUGCUGUGAGCUCGAUGAGUAGGGCGGGACACGUGGUAUCCUGUCUGAAUAUGGGGGGACCAUCCUCCAAGGCUAAAUACUCCUGACUGACCGAUAGUGAACCAGUACCGUGAGGGAAAGGCGAAAAGAACCCCGGCGAGGGGAGUGAAAAAGAACCUGAAACCGUGUACGUACAAGCAGUGGGAGCCCCACCACUAAGCCAGUGGUGAACUCCACAUACGCAUCCUUUGCUGAGGAUACGGUUAACGGAGCGAAAGCGACGUUCAACCGCAAAAGAAGCAGAGGGGGCUUAGUGGUGGGGUGACUGCGUACCUUUUGUAUAAUGGGUCAGCGACUUAUAUUCUGUAGCAAGGUUAACCGAAUAGGGGAGCCGGAGGGAAACCGAGUCUUAAUUGGGCGUUAAGUUGCAGGGUAUAGACCCGAAACCCGGUGAUCUAGCCAUGGGCAGGUUGAAGGUUGGGUAACACUAACUGGAGGACCGAACCGACUAAUGUUGAAAAAUUAGCGGAUGACCUGUGGCUGGGGGUGAAAGGCCAAUCAAACCGGGAGAUAGCUGGUUCUCCCCGAAAGCUAUUUAG
rnacentral:rRNA from 1 species